rnacentral:tRNA from 1 species
GCCACCGUGGUGGAAUCGGCAGACACCUUGGACUUAAAAUCCAAUGCAAUGAAAAUUGCGUACCAGUUCAAGUCUGGUUGGUGGCA